rnacentral:rRNA from 1 species
CCGCCAGAGAACUACAAGUGAAAAACUUAAAACUCAAAGGACUUGACGGUGUCCCAUACCGACCUAGAGGAGCCUGUCCUAUAAUCGAUACCCCCCGCUCCACCCAACCCCAACUAGCACUCUCAGCCUAUAUACCGCCGUCGAUCAGCCUACCCUAUGAAAGUCCAACAGUAGACACAAUAGCCCCAUCGCUAGUACGUCAGGUCAAGGUGUAGCAAAUGUUGUGGAAGAGAUUGGCUACAUUUUUUAAUAUAAAAAAUACGAAAAAUACUAUGAAACAGUAUAUGAAGGUGAAUUUAGUAGUAAAAU